rnacentral:rRNA from 1 species
GAGUUUGAUCCUGGCUCAGAACGUACGCUGGCGGCACGCCUAACACAUGCAAGUCGAACGAAGUAGCAAUACUUAGUGGCAGACGGGUGAGUAACAUGUAGGUAUCUGCCCUUUGGCCUGGAAUAACACGAGGAAACUUGUGCUAAUACCGGAUAAGUCUUUACAGAGAAAGCUUUAUGCACCAUUGGAUGAGCCUGCACUUGAUUAGUUUGUUGGUGGGGUAAUGGCCUACCAAGACUGUGAUCAAUAGCUGAUUUGAGAGGAUGAUCAGCCACAUUGGGACUGAGACACGGCCCAAACUCCUACGGGAGGCAGCAGUGGGGAAUCUUGCACAAUGGAGGAAACUCUGAUGCAGCGAUGCCGCGUGAGUGAAGAAGGCCUUUGGGUUGUAAAGCUCUUUCGUCGGGGAAGAAAAUGACUGUACCCGAAUAAGAAGGUCCGGCUAACUUCGUGCCAGCAGCCGCGGUAAUACGAAGGGACCUAGCGUAGUUCGGAAUUACUGGGCUUAAAGAGUUCGUAGGUGGUUGAAAAAGUUGGUGGUGAAAUCCCAGAGCUUAACUCUGGAACUGCCAUCAAAACUUUUCAGCUAGAGUAUGAUAGAGGAAAGCAGAAUUUCUAGUGUAGAGGUGAAAUUCGUAGAUAUUAGAAAGAAUACCAAUUGC